UACGGAGGGGGCUAGCGUUGUCCGAAGUUACUGGGCGUAAAGGGCGCGUAGGCGGGCUGUCCAGUCUGGGGUGAAAUCCCGCGGCUCAACCGUGGAACUGCCUUAGAUACUGACGGCCUCGAGGGAGAUAGGGGCAUGCGGAACUGUAGGUGGAGCGGUGAAAUGCGUUGAUAUCUACAGGAACUCCGGUGGCGAAGGCGGCGUGCUGGAUCUCUUCUGACGCUGAGGCGCGAAAGCUAGGGGAGCAAACGGG
rnacentral:rRNA from 1 species